UUUUUAAUUUAUGCUGCAGAAUAUUAUACCCGAAGUCACUUAUGGUGACACUUUACUGUAUAAUAUUAUAAUAUCUGCGCCGCGAGUUUAAUUGACAUUUGUUUACCUCCGUAUAACACUUAUACUCGCCUAUUCGCUGUAAAACGUUUUAACGACUUAAAUAAAAUUAUACACACGUGUAAGUACGCUCGUUUUAAUUCGCGGGUUAUAGUUACGGCGCACAAGGUAAUAUGUUUAAGUGGAUUACACAUGUUAUCUCGGAAAAAAUUAAUUUUUUUUUUUUUUUUUUUUCGAAAUUUGUUUUAUAGAACAAUUCAGAAACAAGCAGCUCCACUAUUUUACAUUUAUGUUGUUUUUCGUCGCGUUAUUUUUUUCGGAUAAAACCAC